GCCCGGUGCAGUGGUUCGCACCUGUGAUCCCAGCAACUUGGGAGGCUGAGGCAGGAGAAUUGCAAGUUUGAGGCCAGCUUCAGCAACUUAGCAAGAUGCUGUCUCAA
rnacentral:sRNA from 1 species